rnacentral:rRNA from 1 species
CUUGCCUCCAUAAGAGGUCCAGCCUGCCCAGUGACCUAGUUCAACGGCCGCGGUAUCCUAACCGUGCGAAGGUAGCGUAAUCACUUGUCUUCUAAAUAAAGACUAGUAUGAAAGACACCACGAGAACUUAACUGUCUCCCUUUUCUAAUCAGUGAAACUAAUCUCCCCGUGAAGAAGCGGGGAUCUUCAAAUUAGACGAGAAGACCCUAUGGAGCUUUAAACACUAACCACUUGCCCGCACAUUAAUUACCCAGGUUUCCUCAAUCAACGCAAUAUGAUUACGUGUUUUUGGUUGGGGUGACCGCGGAAAAUAACUAAACUUCCACAAUGAUAACCAUCCAAACUACAAGCUACAGCUUUAAGUAUCAACAAAUUGACAUUCAUUGACCCAAUAUAUUGAUUAAUGAAC